CCUACGGGUGGCAGCAGUGGGGAAUAUUGCACAAUGGGCGCAAGCCUGAUGCAGCGACGCCGCGUGCGGGAUGGAGGCCUUCGGGUUGUAAACCGCUUUUGUUCAAGGGCAAGGCACGGUCUUUGGCCGUGUUGAGUGGAUUGUUCGAAUAAGCACCGGCUAACUACGUGCCAGCAGCCGCGGUAAUACGGAGGGUGCAAGCGUUUUCCGGGUUGUUUGGGUUUAAAGGGUGCGUAGGCUGUGAGGUAAGUCAGCGGUGAAAUGCCCGCGCUCAACGGGGUGAAGUGCCAUUGAUACUGCCUGGCUGGAAUGCGGAUGCCGUGGGAGGAAUGUGUGGUGUAGCGGUGAAAUGCAUAGAUAUCACACAGAACACCGAUUGCGAAGGCAUCUCACGAAUCCGCGAUUGACGCUGAUGCACGAAAGCGUGGGUAUCAAACAGGAUUAGAUACCCCAGUAGUC
rnacentral:rRNA from 1 species